UUUUCUCCUCCUCCUUGCUUAUCUAGUAAUUUUCUUUCCUCUCUUAUCUCUUCAUAUCUUCUUUAUUGAUAUUAAGUUUUUGUUUUAUCUUUCGUAUUAUUCAUCCUUAUAUUUCUUGACUUGUUUGCCUAUUCUUUUUGAUAGCUUGAACCACUGGAAUGGUAGAAAAUUUCCUAGACCUAUUCCUAAUAUAUUUUACCUUAAUUAGCCCAUUUACUUUGUGAUUUUUCCCAUGUCUAGGCAUAUUGCCACUUCUAAAAUUUUCAUGAAAAUUUCUUGUGCUAGUGUGUCCAAUCGAACCACAUUCUUCCAUUAAGAAUUCAUUCCUCUUCAGUCCUAUCACAGAUCUAAAAGUUGAUCUUAAUACUUAAUAGUAUUGGACCUGACCUAUUGCUAUUUUUAGAUUUCAUCAUGAAUCCGAAUUCUUUUUGAAACCAGAAUGAAUAGAUGCAAUUCACUUGGUUUCAUACAAAAAUUUCAAUCCUUAUUCCCACAUUAAUAUCUUUUCCUUAAGCUAAAAUCUGAAAUCUAAUUUUCCAUAGUUAUAAGCUACCAUGGAUGUACUGCUGCAGAUGGUCAUAUUGGAUUGUGCAUAGUUUAGUAUAAAUGCAAAAUCUUACCAUCUAGAUCUUAAAAUAUACAGCAUAAUGUGGUCUAGAAUGUGGGUCAUUCUUGAUUUAUUUUUUGCAAUAUUCUCUUUGCGAGUAUGUAGUCUUUUCUCUUUUUGGUGUGAGUCUUGUGCUUGAUUCUUGAACCUGUUUAAGUCCACAUCUACUUGUUCUGCAGUUUGUAGCUGUUGCUCUUCCAUUAAAUAUUCUUUAACUGCCUGUUGAUUGUGAAUGUUGCAAUUAACUUGAGUUACUACUUACUACUGCUUGAUCUGGCCUUAGUUUUUGUGUAAAAGGCACCCACCUUGGUCGCCUAGGCGGAACCAAGGAUUUUUUCCCCUCCCUUUGUUGUGUUAUUCCAUCUCUUAGUGUUUAAAACAAUAAGAUACUAAAACCCACAUGGUAUGCACAUCUAGGUGACCAAGGUGACGCCUAGGUGCCCGGCCAACGCCUUGUGUUUCUGAGAUGACACUGGUAUUUUGCUAAUACCUACGUAGCUGGAUAUCAAAUGAAGAAUAUUAGUCAUUUAUUGACAUUUCUUAGUUGAUUAUUUCACCUCUUUAAUUAAUUUUGUUAAUUACCUGGGGGAAGUGAAAAUUGUUAAACCCUAGUUUAGCAAAUUUUUUGUCUUAAUUUUUUGUAUUAAAAUAGUCUUUGAAGAUGAUCACUAGACUAGAUAGUUGCAUAUUCCCUACAAGUUUGUUUUCUUUUAAUGCCUUUGUUAGAUGCUCGCAAUUCUAUGCCUUUUUGUACUCAUAAUGUGACAUCUGGUCUAGAGUUUGUUUGAUGAAUGCUAUCUUAACAGGAUGAUGGAUUCCAGUUUGACCUCAUGGGUCAUAUAAUGAAAAGUACCAUGGUAUCUUUUGCUAAUCUAUUUAGGCCUAAGAAGGUUUGCCUCAAAAGUUACUAUUUGGAAAAUGCAAUUUGCUUCUACUAUUUUAUCCCUUGUAGUUCCGUAAGAACCCACAAAUUAACUUAGUGGUUCUAGCUGCUAGAACUUACAGUUUUGAUACUUUUCUUGUUUGCAUUGCUAAUCCUUUCUUAUGCUUAGAUGUUGUCUUGAAAAUUUUGAGGUGUCUCUUUCACGUUUAAUUCAUAUAGGAUGGAUAUAUUAUCAUAGUAGUCCUCACUCUUUCAUUUCAGAAUGUUAUUGAAACAAAUUAGGAUCUGAAACCAGCAGCUGGAAAUAGAAGAGAGAAGAGACGAAGAGAGGUAGAGGGAGCAAUUUCUGAGCCACGAUAGAGUCACCUUGUGUUCUAUCAUGGGCUACUAUCUUUAUUAAUAAUAUUUAGUUAGCAGAUAAGAGUGGAUGUCUUUACAAUGACAGUUCUAAGAGUCGAUGUCUUAGUACAAUGAAGGGAAUAAAAUAAAAAGACUACUUUAAGAGACUCAAUUCACUGCAUGAUAACAAAGAAAAUAUUGGAUCGGCCAGAUUUAAACAAAUCUAGGUAAAUGUUCUCCAAUAACAUCAAUAACAACCAUCACUCUAUGCAAGUACCAAUUUUAAAAAAUUGCAAACCCAAACUGAUGUGAUCUAGGGUCCAAAACUCAAAAUUGGGUUCUAUGGGCCAAAACUGAUGAAGGGUUGUGGCAUUUGUGUUAGUGUCGGCUGGUUCCAGAUUGUUUGAAAGAAUAUUGUCUACAAUCUAGGAGUAGAUUUCUUCCAUUUUAGGAAAAUGAACGAAUAGCCGUCUUUUCCACGGUCGCCUUACACACUGAUCGAACUUACUCUCGAAUGAAAGUGUGAAUAGACUUUCAUUACCUUAUGCUGUUGUAGAUGGGCUUCGGGAUUGGCGUGGGGGCCUUACGUCGGUUCUGGUGAAACUCAAUUAUAAUGAAGGAAUUGAAAAACUACAAUUAAACUCAAUAUUCAAGGUGGUACAUGGUAAAUCAAAGGAGAAAGGACACAUAGGGUAUUAGGAUUUAUUGAUUGGGGAAGACUUGAAGGUGUUUUGAUAUUGAGGACAAAGGAGUAUAAAAGAAUAUAGGAGAGGGCACAAAUGGAACUCAAUUAAUAAAUUAAAGGAUAAAAAGAAUAAAAUGAGGAAAGAAGUACUUAAAAGAGUGUAACUUGACUGUCUACACCUUUUUUAUUUUUGGAUUAAUAAAUAAUUCAUUACCAGAAGGAGAAGAAUAUACAGGGGGGAAAAGGGGGGGUGGAGAUGCCUAAGCCAACAGGGAAAGGCAAGCCCCAAGGGGGAACAACAAAAACAAAGAGCAAAAACACAAUAGCUCAAAAGUGACAAAAGGGGCUAAGGCGGGGUGGGGGGGGGAGUCAAACAUGAUGGAUUAGGUCCACCUAUAAGUUCCAGAAGGAGAUGAUGUGGGGAUUUUUUUGGGAUAUGGGAAUAAGGAGGGAGAGGGGGCUAAGGAGGCUUUGGACUUUGGAGGUAACAUCAAAGUAGAUAGCUUUCCAAAUCUUGUCCAGAGUCCUAAAUUUGGGGGACCAUCUAUGAAUGUUAUGCUCCAUCCAAAGGUCAUUGAUGGUGGCACAAAAAGCAAGUUUAACUAUCGCGUCACAAAUGGAAGGGCUAGGGAAAGUCAUAUCGAUCUAGAUACAUUCUCUAUUGAAGGGAAGGAUAGGUCUAGAAUUCGGCCGGCAUUUUGACAUCGUUAAUUUCCAAACCGUGGCAGAGAAGGGGCAGAAGAAGAAGAGAUGGGGGAUGUCUUCAACCCCCGAGGGACAGAGACAACAAGCAAGGUUGACUAAGAUACAAUGAUAGAUAAGGAAGAAUUGAGUAGGGAGACAGUUGGUAAGACAUCUCCAAAGGGUGAAGGAUCAAGAAUGUGACCCUUAAACCAGACUAUCUUGUGCCAAGAAGCGACCACUGAAGGGAGUCUAAUGUGUGACCAAUAUGAGGCGGAGGAGAAGAUCCCAUUGGAGGAGGAGAGCCAAAUGCAAAUAUCAACUCUAUCUUUAUGGCCAGGGGGAGAGGAGGGAGAGAGGACCAGAGGUCAGUAAGGAGCAGGGGGAGGAGGGGGGAGACAAACCUAAGGGUGAAAGAAUAGUGGAGACCAUGGCUAUAGAAGAGAGACCAGAGGAGUAGAUAACUCUACGGGUAAGGAGGUGAGAAAGGAUACUUGAAGGGUGCCAGGGAUCCUUCCAAAGGGAGGUGGAGAGACCGAUGCUAAUGGAGUGCGAGAUGGUAGAGAGGGCAACUAGCCUGUGCUCAAGGAUCUUCCUCCAUAUCCAGGAGGCAUUUAGAAUGAAAGGGGCCGUCCAAAUGGGGUUGUGUUUUAGAAGACCAGAGUAAAUCCAGUCAACCCAGAUGCUUUAGUGCUUGGACACAAUUUUCCAUACGAGUUUAAGGACACCAACAGUAUUGGCAUCCUUAAUUCUCCUAAUACCAAGGCCACCUUUGGAUUUGGGAUAAUAGACUUUUUCCAAUUGAGAGGCCUGAGGAAUCUGGAGGGCCAGAGCCUUUCCAAAGGAAAGAGGAAAGAAGACCUUCAAAAGAUUUGGUAAUCGAGGCUAGAAGGAUGAAGGUGCAAGACCAAUAGAGGUACAGAGAUUGGAGGACCGAUCUAAUCAAUGUAAAGCGGCCAAUGAAAGAGAGGAGUUUUCUUUUCAACUCCUCUCUUUCACUAUCUAUAUACCUUAUCAAUUAUGAAAUCAACAAUCCUAGCAAGAGGGACAGAACAGAUGGUAGUAAGAGACCAACAAAUCUUGGGUUUGUUAAAGAUCACGUACUAAGGGUACUUUGGGUAUUAGGUUAUUAUGCUGUAUGUGCAUUUACUUUUAUGCCUUUUAACUUCUCUUGGCUAUCUUAUGUUAGCAUGAAGGGUAGAUAAACAAUUUCCUUUAUGACGCUAAGUGCAUCAAUAUAGGGGGAGAGGGGGAGAGAAAUCUAUUCUCUCACACAACACAUUAUCAUCAAUAUAGGGGGAGAGAAAUCUACCUCCUACUUUCAUCUUCUCUCUUCUUCUCUUGUACUCUUGCAACCCUUAUAUUCCAACUUGGUGUUAGAGCCCACGGUUUUGGUUUGAGAGUCGUGCUAUAAGUUCUCCAUAGUUGGUAAUAGUAUUGAUGGAUGGCUAUUAGUUACAGUAAAAGAAAAUUACCAUGUUAAAGAAUCAGAUUGAAUCGGAUUUGUGAGUUGUCAACCAUACAUAACUAUGUCAAUGGUAUAUUCCUCAACUUGUUUCUAAUAUUUUUUUUCCCUUUUUUAUAUAAGGGAAGGCAGAAACUCUGUCCAAAGUCUAUCAAAAGAAAAUAAUGGCAUAGAUGGUUCUAAGACCUAAAUGUAAGGAUGGAUUCAGUUGUUCUUAUUUCCUCCUUAGUUCAACAGAGAUUUCCACCAUUUUGAUCCUACUUGAGUUUGUGUCAAUUACUCAUCUGCCAUUUAUCUUCCUCCCUUUUUGUUAGAUGAAAACUAUAUCAUUUUUUCGAACUGAUGGAAUUCUUUUUGUUUUAGAUAGUGAAUUGUGGGAUUUUGGUGAAGUUGCAAAAAUGGGCGUCAGGUAAAUGCAUCAUAGUUCAAUCUUUAUGGGACUGGGAUUGGGCUAUGUCAGUAUUCUGUAUGUUCCUGACAUUUUACUUAUUGGCAUAUACUAGGAAGCCAGUCUUUAAAAGUUUGGACUCGCUUCCUGAAUAUAUUUAUUUGCCACUCAACUCAACCAUAUUUAUUUGAAGCUAAUAAAAAGGAAACAUAUUAUAAACUUAUUUCCAUACUCUUGGUUAUGUGAAAACAUGUAGAUUUCAUAUUUCCUGCGUGAGAAUAUUUGUAGAUCUUUCCCGUAAAGCACUGAGAGAUUGUUCUUCGCCCCAACAAAACGUACAUUGCCACUUUUGGUGCUGAUUUUCCAUAAAAAAUUGGUUAAAUUUUUUAUGGAACUUAAUGUCAACAAUAGAGCUAGAUUGAACACCUGGUUGGCACUUCCAAACUACUCAAUGAGUUUGCUAGGGUUCAGAAAGGGGUCUACCAGAGCUCAUGAGGCAAUCUCUGAAAAUUCCUCUGAUGAGCCCAAACCUCCUAUUGAACAGCCAUGAAAGCCGAGCUUGAUAACAAGUUGGGGGGGGGGAUGAUAUCAUUACUCUAUCUCUAUGGAUUUAGGGUGAUGACUAAAUGAUGAUUGUCCAUUCUCUCACAAUAGUACCCUCCUCCAUGCUCUUUGACUGUAUCAUGCGCCAUUUUUACCAUGAUUGUAUCACUCGACUAGAUAGCUAGAAAACCUAUCAAGACCUCUUUGCAGAUUCCGUGCCUGAGCUCCUCAAUUGCUUGUGUGACUGAUGAUUUAUUUUCAUCUUUGAACCAAAUUGGUUUUCCUUAAAAAUUGGAUUUCCAUUAUGAUUUAUCAAUAUUUAAUCUAUAUUAGACUUAGUAGAAUUUAUCUCGUUUUUCAUUUUUCUUGCAAGUGCCCAGUAGAUUGCUCUUUUUUUAACAUUUUUUUUUCUUUUUUUACUUACAGUCUUAUAAGAAACUGAAUAUAAGUUUUUCAUUUGCUAAAGAAAGGUAGUUCUAGCCUUUCCUUUUCCUUAAAUUUACUCACCCGGUGAAGAAAAUAAAGAGGAUAUUUGCAAAAUUUCUAUUUUAAUUUGUUUCAUGAACCAGUCAUUUUUUAUUUUGGAUGUAGCUUUCAUGGUUUCAUUAUGAUUAUUACAUGCUUCCUAUUCCCUUGAAACUAAUUUUCCAUAUUUAUUCUUUCUCAGAUGACAAAAUCUGAAGUUUUAAUGCAUAAUCGUAUACCUAUUGGAUAUGCUUCAUGCCCCACACAAACAAUGAUGAUGCAGGUACAAUCGUGCCUAUGGCUAGGGACUCUCUUUCUUCCAGACCUGAGUAUGGAGUGAGCAAUUGGUAGAUGCCGAAAGCUGAGGAGCAUGGCUAGGACUGUGCUUGUGAUUAUUGAAGUGUUUCGCGUAUUUUUGAUUAAUUUGGUACAAGCUUGUGUAUGGUACAUUUUGAACCUAUUAGAUAUAAGACAUGGAUGAUUGUAAACGGAAUAACUCGGUUAUGGAUAUUAUUUAUCGUUAGAUAUUUUCCCCAUUUUAUUGAUGAUUCCGCUAUUAUACUCU